UCCUUCACAGGCGAAACUCCUAUAACCUCGCCCCUUUUAAAUUCCACCGCUGCCACUAGCUUUCCCUUCCCUCCCUUUCAUCAUCAUCAUCAUCAUCAUCGACGUUUGCUCCCAAAUCAUGGAUCCCCAUUAGCAUUCCUCAACUGGGGUCAAGAGAAGAAAAACUGAUGGAGGGGAGUAAAAGCUUGAUACAGAUGGUCUUUUCUUGGUCUGUUCAAGAUGUUCUUAAUCAAAACCUCUAUAAAGACAAGGUGAGGAAAAUCCCAGAGACGUUCCCGUCAGUGACUCAUUAUAGGAGCUCAUUUAUUCUCCCACUUCUCGAGGAAACUCGUUCUGAUUUGUGUUCAAGCAUGAUGACAGUGUCAUCAGCACCAGUGUGUGAAAUAUUGUACAUUGAGAAGUCAGGGGAUUACAAGGAGCCCAAUGAUUUGAUAUAUGAUGUUGGAGUGAAUAAAAUGAAUGAUGCAGAGAAUGGGAAGGAAGUGUACGUUCCCGAGAAUGGAGAUCUCCUUGUUUUGGCAGAGGUAUGGCCGAAAUGCAUUGGUGAUUUGAGCUGGUUUAAUGAAUCAUAUAAGAUUGCUUUAGUUCAAAGGAAAAAAAGAUUUGAACAUGAAGAUUAUGACGAGAUUCAAAUUUUAUCAUCGAAGCCCAUCAAAGAGCAAGACAUGCAGCAACAUACCAAGCAAAAGACUCGUUUUUCUGUUUUUCUGACAAACAUGAAAACAAAUGUUCGAAUAUGGAAGGCACUGUCCUUGCUAGGAGAAGGGAACAUGAACAUCAUUCAACAAGUUCUGCAAACUGAUUCCUCUGUGGUAGACAAUUGUGCCAACUGUUUCAUUAGAGAAAAGCACAACGUUGAUGCAUCAACUUUAGGUGCAUAUAUUCGCUCCUUUGAUCUAAAUGCUUCCCAAGAAGAAGCAGUUUUAUCCUGUAUAUGUGCGAGGGAAUGUCAUCAUCGGAAUUCAGUCAAACUAAUAUGGGGUCCUCCUGGGACAGGAAAAACAAAGACUAUUGGUGCAUUAUUAUUUGCAUUUUUUAAAAGGAAAUGCAGAACCCUUACCUGUGCCCCAACCAAUGUGGCAGUGUUGGAAGUUACGACACGGCUUCUGAAUUUGGUAAUUCCAAAGCUUGAAUAUCAGACUUAUGGUCUUGGAGAUAUUAUUUUAUUUGGGAAUGGUGAGCGGAUGAAGAUUUGUAACCAUGAUGACCUUCUUGAUGUAUUUCUUGACUGUCGUGCUCAUAUACUUUCCAAUUGUUUAGCACCUUCAUCUGGAUGGAAUUAUCAUUUAAGAUUGAUGAUAUGCUUGCUUGAAGAUCCUGGCAAGCUUUACCAUGAGUACUUGCAAGAACUAGCCAACAGAAAGAAAGACAAAAAUUUCAAAGCACAAGAGAAGGGAAUUCUUAGAAAUGAGAAGAUUCAAAACAACAAAGAAAAACAGGAUGAUGUCAACUCUAAAAAGUCCAGAAACCAAAAUAACAAUGUUUUUUGGAGGAAAGUUAUUUUACAAACCUUAGAAGAAAGCAAGAAGACAUGGAAGGAGAAAUCUUGUUGUAGGAAGGAAAGCCGCUUGAAGCACAACAGAAAAGUGGACAUGGUUCAUUUUUCUCAAGAUCAUGAGAUUGAAGGAUUGACAUUCGAGGAGUUUGUAAACUGUAAAUUUAAUUACUGCAAAGAUCAGAUGCGGAUGCAUGUUGUAAUCAUGCAUACUCACUUGCCAUCUUCUGUCAUUUCUCCAAGAGUGGUAAAAAUGAUGAUUGAAUUUCUCGAGUUUCUUGAACUGCUUGAUUCUUUGUUACAAGCUGCUGAUGAAGGGUUAAGUCAUGCCUUCAGUCAAUCUAUGGAUGAACCUUAUGGAAUUGGCUUUUCUAAGCAGCACAAGCUGGAAGAGGCUAGAGAACAUUGCCUUAAGUUACUCAAAUUGCUCCACAGUAAAUUUACUCUUCCAGACAUUUCUGGGGAGUCUAAAAUCAAACUUUUCUGUCUAGAAAAGGCUCGCUUGAUAUUUUGCACUGCUUCAAGCUCUGCUAAGUUGUAUGCAGAGGAUAUGUUACGGUCGAGUCUGGAAGUGUUGAUUAUAGAUGAAGCUGCCCAACUGAAAGAGUGUGAAUCAACUAUCCCUUUACAAUUUCCCGGUCUGCGUCAUGCUAUCCUCGUAGGGGAUGAGUGCCAGUUGCCUGCAAUGGUUCAAAGCAAGAUUUCUGAGAAAGCUGAAUUUGGAAGAAGUUUAUUCCUAAGACUGGCACAAUUGGGACACAAAAAACACCUUCUGAAUGUUCAGUAUAGAAUGCAUCCAUCAAUAAGCUUGUUUCCAAAUGUAGAGUUCUAUGGAAAGCAGAUUCUUGAUGCUCCACUUGUUAAAGAAAGAAGCUAUGAGAAGUGUUUCCUUCAAGGAAAAAUGUAUGGCAGUUAUUCUUUCAUAAAUGUAGACUAUGGACAUGAAGAGGCUGAUGAUAGGCACAGCCGAAAAAAUGUGGUAGAGGUAGCUGUGGUCUCUGAAAUAGUUGCAAAACUUUUUGAAGAAUCAGUUUCAAUGAAAGAGACAUUGAGCGUUGGUGUUAUAUCACCUUACAGUGCUCAAGUGUCUGCCAUUCAAGAGAAACUUGGAAAGACAUUAAGUAGGGGUUCUGGCAAUGGUUUCUCUGUCAGUGUGCGCUCUGUUGAUGGGUUUCAAGGUGGCGAGGAAGAUAUCAUAGUAAUCUCCACUGUCAGAUGUGAUUUGAUGGGUUUGGUGGGGUUCCUUAAAAGUCCCCAGAGAACAAAUGUGGCUUUGACUCGUGCAAGGUAUUGCCUUUGGAUAGUGGGAAAUGGAGUAACUUUAGGUAAUAGUGAUUCUGUCUGGGAGAGAAUGGUCAUUGAUGCCAAGACUCGGGGAUAUUUUUACAAUGCUGAUGAGGAUGAGAGCUUGGCUCAAGCUAUCAUAGCUGCACUCGUUGAGGUUGGCAAAACUGAUCAAUUUCCUAAUGCACAUUUGGUCCUCUUUAAAAGUGCCACGUGGAAGGUUUCCUUUCAUGACGGUUUCUCCAAAUUUGUUGCGAGAACUAAAACCAUGGAGAUUUGUAAGGAAGUUAUUUCAAUGUUAAGGAAGCUUUUAAGCGGUUGGCGUCAGCCUCACAAAGGGAGAGAUCCUAAUUUCACCAAUGGGGUUUCUUCUCAGCUGUUGGAGCAAUAUAAGAUUAACGGAUCACUCUAUCUUGUCUGGACUGUAGACAUUCUAGAGGAAAAUGCAUGCAUUUUCCAGGUUCUGAAGGUUUGGGAUCUAUUACAUUUGUCUGAGAUACCGAAUUUAGCAAAGCUUGUUGACACCUUCUAUGGAAAAUAUACAGGGGAUCAAAUUAAUCGAUGCAAGCUAAGGCACUUCGAAGGGAACUUGCAGGUUCCGAUGACCUGGCCUGUUCAUUCUAAUGAACACCCUAAAGAUGAUCCUGUGGAGUUUUUGUCUAUCCAGUUUGCUUCACUCAGUUUACUGGAUUAACAUGGGCUAUCAGCUAAUUGUCAUAGGAGAUGAAAUCCUUGCUUCAAGCCUAGGCAAUGAGAUGGAGCUGGUAUAAUAUAUUUCUCGAAGGCUGUAAAGUCGAAAGUAGGUGUUCUGUCAACAUUGAGCAUGGUAUGCUGAAAAAAUGUCUAUGCAUGACGUAAAUACUUGCAGUAUUUGUAUAGUGUCUAGAGUAGCUAGUCAUAUUACUUGCCAAAUGGCUAAUUUCUUCUCCCCACGAUUCACACUAUGUACAUGUAAAAUCAUGGCGGCUUUUUGGGGAUUUACACAGAUGAAAGUAGGGUGGUAAAAUGUUUCGGAUUGGGCAACAAGGUUGCAGUUUGUGCGAUCUUUUGAUUGAACCAUUAUAUCGUUUCCAUGCAAUUGCAUAAUGAAGUUUCAGAUGA